rnacentral:sRNA from 14 species
AACGAGUCAAUCCCAGUUGGUGGUUCACAGUCAGUUACACAUGUCCCCUUCUCACUACUGCACUUGACUUGUUUAAA